UCUGAUCAGACCAGUAGAACUAGGAUAACUAAUGAAUGGUGUCUUCCUUCGACAGCCACACCUCCAAGCCAGGUCUCCAAAUUCAAGAGCAGGAAUUAUCCACCUACAUCAUUAGAACCACCAAUGCACAAAGAGAAAGCUUCCAGUGUUGAAACAAACUUUCAAUCUGAACAGACUGUUAGGAGAACUAUCAAACAGCUUCUUCCUCCAAAGCCCACGCUACCAAGCCAGGAAUCCAAAUAUAAAAACUGGAAUUGUCCACCUACA